rnacentral:lncRNA from 1 species
AAGGAGUGGUUCUUCUGAGGAAAACCAGCUGAAGUAUUACAGAAAGAGGAAAUGCUGCAGAGACCCAGCCGGAAACAGUGCUGGCCAGCUCACGCCUGACCCACCCUUAUUCUAAGCAUAGGGUCUGCCUCUGAAGAGCUAAAGACUUCCUGAAAUUUAAAAAUUAGUGCUUUUAUUUGCUUGUCCUGCUAAGACCGUAGGCAAAGGCCAUCCUCCUCCCAUUGACAGUUUAGAGUGGGCAGAAACAACCACGGUUACCCUAGAAGUAAAUCCAGAGCUGCGGGACGCUGGAGGACAAAACCAACCUUCCAGGGAAGCCGAGGAGAAGUCAUGCCUUCAAAAGAUGAAGGAACGAGGGCACAGAGAGAUUCGAGUUGUCACCCAAGCUCACAUAGCACCAGUGACAGAGAUGAAGAAACUGACAUCUGGAGAAGUUGAAGUAAUUUGCACAAAGAUUCACUUGGCUAACGGAGUUUUGCUCUGUCACCCAGGCUGGAGUGCAAUGGCCCGAUCUCGCCUCACUGCAACCUCCACCUCCCGAGUUCAAGAGAUUCUCCUGCCUCAGCCUCCCAGGGGCUGGGAAGUUCAAGAUCCAGGCCUCAGAAGAUUUGGGGUUUGGUGAGGGCCAUCUUCUCACUGUAGCCUUACAUGGUGGAAGAGGUAAGGCAGCUCUCUGGAACCUCUUUUAUAAGGGCACUAAUCCCUUUCAUGAGAACUCAGCCCUUAUGAACUCAUCGCCUCCUAAAUUCUCUACCUCCUAACACCAUCACUUUGACAAUCAGAUUUCAACAUAUGAAUUUGUGGGAGUCACCAGCAUUGAGACUAUAGCAACCCCUUAUUAGAAAUAAUUCAUGAGGAACUGAAACUGUUAGGAAACCACUGUGUAAAUGCUGGGAAACAAAGUCAGAUAAAUAAUGCUGAUAAUUACCUGACUGCUUUUGGAACUGUCCUUUUUUGUGAACAUGAGACUACAUCAUUGUCAGUUGAUUGCAGAAGAACCACUAUGAUAUUAUAAUGGGGUCCUGACUCCAUGACUGUGUAAUUCAUGGCUUUCUAACGGUUUAUUAUUGACCUAACUUUGCAGCUCCCCUAGAUCCCCUAACUCCACCAUCUUGGGUUGCAACCAAUGACCUGUUAUUGCAAAACAGGUAAUCUCACUUAGAUAAGUAUUAAUCAGAGGGGCUUGACUUCCAGAGUUCAUUUCAAUGGUUUUCAACUCAUUUGUAGAGUUUAACAUCAGUAGCCCUUUCUCUUCCAUAGGAGGGAGAUGAACCAUCCUGUUUGUUCAAUAAUCAGUGAGAGCGUGGCUUUAACGUCUCUUCCACUCCUUUCUAGUUCAGGUCUUUCUUAACUUGAUGGAGAUAGCUUGGGCCAGGGAGGGCAGAGUGAAGAUGAGAUGGCAAAAAAAAAAAAGUUUUGAUCAGCAGCAUUGACUCUGUGCUAAAUACUGUGCUCAGCUCUUUGGAUGUUAUUUCAUUGAAAUGGAAAGAACACUGUAAAGUUGUCUUGUGAGGCACACUUUCCUGUUGAGGAAAUAAAAGCAUUAAAUAACUUGCCCCCAAAUACAAAGCUAUUAGGAUUGAAACAAAGACUUGAGCCCGGGAUCUAUCUAAUUUCAAGGUCCUUGUUUUUUUUCUACUACAUUUCUCUUUGAGAUACAGUUACUCAAAGGUGUCCAAACUUCAGUUAAUGUCAACCUCUGCCUCACUCUGGUCCUGGUGCCUUUCCCAUGUUCCUGAGAAGAUCAUGUGGCACACUUCUCUAAACGUCUCUGUGCCAUAUCUCUUGGGAUCAAAAGGCCAUUCCAAUAAUUCUUCUGCAUUUCUUAAUGUAUGCUCAGAUGGCCCUGGUUUGCAUUUAGAGAAAGGAAGCUAAGACCUUGGUGAUAACUAAAUAUUUAUAUCUAUUUUUUGAUUAUGUGCUUGUAUUUAAUUAAGUGGGUGCCUACUGUUGUGAAAAUACUUUUGAAUACAAUUCUGAAGUUGUGCCAGGGAACUCUGACAAUGGGUAUGCUGGGAGCUGUCUGAUUUCCUUGUCCUAGACAACUCAUACAAUGCAGUAGAAAAAGAAUUCUUUAUUCCCACUGCCUUUCCUUAGCCCUUCUUCAGAGCAGGGGAAGUGUGACUGUAGCUUUAAAUAGUUUAAAUAGUCCUUCAAAUACGGCAAAUAAAACAGUAUCAAUGAAAAAGAAGAUAAAAUGAGUGGAUUACUCAUAUGAGUUUCAGUUUUAUCAUUCAGUUUCACAGAACUCCAAAGAAUAAUGUGAUUAAGUGGUUUCUUUUUGCAAGGAUUUUCCAGGUGAAAGAUCUGAGCUAUAUAUUGAGGAACCAUAGGAUUAAAAUAGACAUGGGUUUGCUUCUAUGACAGCAUUUUGCAAAAUAACAUGACCAGGUACUAUUGCUCAUGCCUGUCACCCCAGCACCGUGGUCAAGGCAAGUAGAUCACUUGAGGCCAGGAAUUCAAGACCAGCCUGGCUAACAUGGCAAAACCUCAUCUCUAUUAAAAAUACAAAACUUAGCCAGAUCUGGUGGCACAUGCCUGUAAUCCCAGCUACUCAGGAGGCUGAGGCAUGAGAAUCACUUGAGCCUGGCAGGCAGAGGUUGCAGUGAGCCGAGAUUGUGCCACUGUGCUCCAGCCUGGGUGAUAGAGUGAGACCCUGUCUCAAAACAAACAAACAAAGCAAACAAAAACACACACACAAAAAAACCCACCUCUGAUGUGACCCAUGGAUAGAAAACAACAAAUUAAGUUUUAAUGAGACUAUAUAUGCUUGUACUUUAAAAUGGGGCUAAUUCAUAGAUAUAGAAAACUAUACUUAUGACAGUUCAUAUAAAUGAGCCACUGGACUGUCCAAAUUUACCUCUUUUUAUUGUAUGGAC